CGCUGGCGGCGCGCCUAACACAUGCAAGUCGAACGGAUUAAGAACAGCUUGCUGUCUAAUAGUGGCGGACGGGUGAGUAACACGUGAGUAACCUGCCUUUCAAUGGGGAAUAACACAGGGAAACCUGUGCUAAUACCGCAUAACACGUCGAGUGGGCAUCCACAUGACGUCAAAGAUUUAUUGUUGAAAGAUGGGCUCGCGCCCGAUUAGGUAGUUGGUGAGGUAAUGGCCCACCAAGCCUGCGAUCGGUAGCCGGACUGAGAGGUUGAUCGGCCACAUUGGGACUGAGACACGGCCCAGACUCCUACGGGAGGCAGCAGUGGGGGAUAUUGCACAAUGGGGGAAACCCUGAUGCCAGCGACGCCGCGUGAGGGAAGACGGUCCUCUGGAUUGUAAACCUCCGUCUUAUGGGACGAUAAUGACGGUACCAUAGGAGGAAGCCACGGCUAACUACGUGCCAGCCGCAGC
rnacentral:rRNA from 1 species